CCCUUAGACGUUCUGGGCCGCACGCGCGCUACACUGACCAGUGCAACAAGCAUCCGUCCUUGGCCGACAGGCCCGGGCAAUCUUUGAACGCUGGUCGUGAUGGGGAUAGACUUUUGCAAUUUUUGGUCUUCAACGAGGAAUUCCUAGUAAACGCAAGUCAUCAACUUGUAUUGAUUACGUCCCUGCCCUUUGUACACACCGCCCGUCGCACCUACCGAUUGAAUGGUCCGGUGAAGCCUCCGGAUUGGCGCGCACCUCGGUGCCGCCGAGAAGUUGGCUAAACCUUACCAUUUAGAGGAAGGUGAAGUCGUANCA
rnacentral:rRNA from 1 species